UUUUCUUUCAGAGCCUUCUGCUGAGCAGAGAGUUCCUUUACAAAGGCCACUUCUGGCAGGGGAACAUCACGGCGAUCAACGUAUGCUGGAUGGCUGAAAUCGUCUGCUUUGACAACACCAGCAUGCCCAUGUGCCCUCACACAGAUGGAGGUGGAAAGGGCUCUUCUCCCGAUGAGGCUGAAUGCUCUUGAAGCCAACAUCCCUGGGCGUCCCCGCUGUUCCCCUAGGCCCUCCC
rnacentral:lncRNA from 1 species